AGAGAGAUGGCUCAGUGGUUAAGAGUGCUUGCUUUGAAAGCAAGGUGAUUUAAGCCCAAAUCUCUAGUACUCUU
rnacentral:tRNA from 1 species